rnacentral:tRNA from 1 species
GCGCCCGUAGCUCAGCUGGAUAGAGCAGCGGACUUCUAAUCCGCGGGUCGGCGGUUCGACUCCGCCCGGGCGCUCCA